GAUCUAGCCAUGCCGCGUGUGUGAUGAAGGCCUUAGGGUCGUAAAGCACUUUCGCCAGGGAUGAUAAUGACAGUMCCUGGUAAAGAAACCCCGGCUAACUCCGUGCCAGCAGCCGCGGUAAUACGGAGGGGGUUAGCGUUGUUCGGAAUUACUGGGCGUAAAGCGUACGUAGGCGGAUCAGAAAGUAGGGGGUGAAAUCCCAGGGCUCAACCCUGGAACUGCCUCCUAAACUCCUGGUCUWGAGUUCGAGAGAGGUGAGUGGAAUUCCAAGUGUAGAGGUGAAAUUCGUAGAUAUUUGGAGGAACACCAGUGGCGAAGGCGGCUCACUGGCUCGAUACUGACGCUGAGGUACGAAAGUGUGGGGAGCAAACAGGAUUAGAUACCCUGGUAGUCCACACCGUAAACRAUGAAUGCCAGUCGUCGGGCAGUAUACUGUUCGGUGACACACCUAACGGAUUAAGCAUUCC
rnacentral:rRNA from 1 species